AGUGAACGCUGGCGGUAGGCCUAACACAUGCAAGUCGAACGGCAGCACAGUAAGAGCUUGCUCUUACGGUUGGCGAGUGGCGGACGUGUGAGGCAUACAUCGUAAUCUACUUUUUCGUUGGGGAUAACGUAGGGAAACUUACUCUAAUACCGCAUACGACCUACGGGUGAAAUCUGGCGAUCUUCUGACCUUUCUCGUUUGAAUGAGCCGAUGUCGGAUUAGCUAGUUGGCGGGGUAAAGGCCCACCAAGGCGACGAUCCGUAGCUGGUCUGAGAGGAUGAGCAGCCACACUGGAAGGGAGACACGGACAAGACUACUACGGGAGGCAGCAGUGGGGAAUAUUGGACAAUGGGCGCAAGAAUGAUCCAGGAAGACCGAGUGGGUGAAGAAGGCCUUAGGGUUGUAAAGACGUGUUGUGGGGAAAGAAAAGAAGCAGGUUAAGACGAAGAUGUUGUGACGGUAACAAAAGAAUAAGCACCGGCUAACUACGUG
rnacentral:rRNA from 1 species